GGCCUAACACAUGCAAGUCGUGCGCGCCCUUCGGGGUGAGCGGCGGACGGGUGAGUAACGCGUGGGAAUAUGCCCUUCUGUUGAGGAUAGCCCUGGGAAACUGGGAGUAAUACUCGAUACGCCCUACGGGGGAAGGAAGGAUUAGCCCGCGUUAGAUUAGGUAGUUGGUGAGGUAAUGGCUCACCAAGCCUACGAUCUAUAGCUGGUUUUAGAGGAUGAUCAGCCACACUGGGACUGAGACACG
rnacentral:rRNA from 14 species